rnacentral:rRNA from 1 species
AACGACUGGCGGCAGGCUUAAUACAUGCAAGUCGAACGGUAACAUGUCGGAGCAAUCUGAUGAUGACGAGUGGCGCACGGGUGCGUAACGCGUAUGCAACCUACCCAAUUAACCGGAACAUAACGUUUAGAGAAAUCGGCGCUAAUAUUCCAUGUGUAUAUUUUGUGGCAUCAUAGAAUAUAUAAAGAUUAAUUGGUUAUGGAUGGGCAUGCGUAUCAUUAGCUAGUUGGUGGGGUAACGGCCUACCAAGGCUGCGAUGAUUAGGGGUUCUGAGAGGAUAACCCCCACACUGGAACUGAGACACGGUCCAGACUCCUACGGGAGGCAGCAGUAGGGAAUAUUGGGCAAUGGAGGCAACUCUGACCCAGCCAUGCCGCGUGAAAGGAAGACGGUCCUAUGGAUUGUAAACUUCUUUUAUCAUAGAGUAACCGCAGGGACGUGUCCCUGCCUGCAAGUAUAUGAUGAAUAAGCAUCGGCUAACUCCGUG